rnacentral:rRNA from 1 species
AGAGUUGAUCAUGGCUCAGAACGAACGCUGGUAGCGUGGAUUAGGCAUGCAAGUCGAACGGGAUCGGCCGAUUAGCAAUAACCGGCCGUGAGAGUGGCGGAUGGGAGGAACACGUGAGCAACCUGUCCUUGAGUUGGGGAAAACCGUUGGAAACGACGGCUAAUACCGGAUGUAGCGCCCGGCGACAUCGCCGGAGCGCCAAAGGGGGCCAAAAGCUCCCGCUCACCGAGGGGCUCGCGCAUCAUCAGCUUGUUGGCGGGGUAACGGCCCACCAAGGCUUACGAUUAGCUGGUCUGAGAGGAUGACCAGCCCCACUGGGACUGAGAUACUGCCCAGACUCCUACGGGAGGCUGCAGUCGAGGAUCAUUUGCAAUGGGCGAAAGCCUGACAAUGCGACGCUGCGUGGAGGAUGAAGGCCUUCGGGUUGUAAACUCCUGUCAUAAGGGAAAAGGCGAGGGUACCCAAUACGUACCUUAGUUGACUGUACUUUAAGAGGAAGGGACGGCUAACUCUGUGCCAGCCGCCGC